rnacentral:rRNA from 1 species
CCUACGGGACGCAGCAGUAGGGAAUCUUCCACAAUGGACGAAAGUCUGAUGGAGCAACGCCGCGUGAGUGAAGAAGGGUUUCGGCUCGUAAAGCUCUGUUGGUAGUGAAGAAAGAUAGAGGUAGUAACUGGCCUUUAUUUGACGGUAAUUACUUAGAAAGUCACGGCUAACUACGUGCCAGCAGCCGCGGUAAUACGUAGGUGGCAAGCGUUGUCCGGAUUUAUUGGGCGUAAAGCGAGUGCAGGCGGGUUAAUAAGUCCGGUGUGUAAACCUUCGGCUCCACCCGAGAAAUUC